rnacentral:tRNA from 1 species
GGCAAUGUGGCUCAAGUGGUAGAGCAUUAGCCUUGACCUGAAGAGCUAAGGGGCAGUGCCCAGGCCCAGAGUUCAAGCCCCAUUGCCA